GUAGGGAAUCUUCGGCAAUGGGGGCAACCCUGACCGAGCAACGCCGCGUGAGUGAAGAAGGUUUUCGGAUCGUAAAACUCUGUUGUUAGAGAAGAACGUUAAGUAGAGUGGAAAAUUACUUAAGUGACGGUAUCUAACCAGAAAGGGACGGCUAACUACGUGCCAGCAGCCGCGGUAAUACGUAGGUCCCAAGCGUUGUCCGGAUUUAUUGGGCGUAAAGCGAGCGCAGGUGGUUUCUUAAGUCUGAUGUAAAAGGCAGUGGCUCAACCAUUGUGUGCAUUGGAAACUGGGAGACUUGAGUGCAGGAGAGGAGAGUGGAAUUCCAUGUGUAGCGGUGAAAUGCGUAGAUAUAUGGAGGAACACCGGAGGCGAAAGCGGCUCUCUGGCCUGUAACUGACACUGAGGCUCGAAAGCGUGGGGAGCAAACAGGAUUAGAAACCCCUGUAGUCC
rnacentral:rRNA from 1 species